AGAAGGUCCACGGCCGGCGCCCGGGCCGGGACCGCGCGCACCGGCUCGCUGCUGCGCAGGGGUCCCCCGAGCCCCCUGAGGGGGGCUGCAGAGGUCGAAGAAUCGCUCUUCAUAACGAGUCCGGGUCCAAGGCCCAGGUCCUCAGACGUCGGAGUGACCGCCUCCCCAGAGGCUCCGGGAUAUCCCGAGUUGGCCUGGGCGAAGAGGGAGAGUCCUCAUCUCUUUGCCCACACCCCUUCCCGAGGUCGAUUCCCCGAGAAGGAAAAGGAAGGGGCCUAUCUGAGGCAAAAGCUGGGCUCGCCUGGAGGCUGGGGAAGCAGUUUACACGUCAGAUUUGCAGGAUUCUUGCAUCCCUGGAAUACCUGGCCCUAGCUUCUCCGGCCCCGCGACACGUGCAGGAACUGCCUCAGCUCCGGGCUCCUGGUUACGAUCAAAGACUCACCUCGCCUCCCGGCAGCGGGCGCGGACAUCUUUGCGCUCGCCCAGCCCCGCAGCCGCGCGGCGUCCCGGCGGCGCGGAGUACUCUAGGAGUUGUAGUUCCUCAGCUCUCGGCCCAUCGCCUUCUGUAAUGGAAGUAGGAGGCAGAGCGCGGACUACAACCCCCAGCACGCCGCGCCCCGGAAGCCGCCCCUGUGCCGUGAGAAAACAAACUGGUGCUACAGCUUCGGGGUGCGGAAGUCAAAACGAAGCAAAACCGAAGCUGUCUUGUGAAAUGGAGGGGUCCUCACUAACCAGUUCCAGCGGAGGCUAACGGAAGAAGUGCCAGCAAUGGAUGUGCAGCUACAUGCACGCUUUUAAUUCAGAGCUUCUGCGACGGUGGCGAUCAGGGGAUCUGUAAUGUAAUGUAAUGUCAAGGCUGACGCAGAGCUGAUCAAACAUUUUGGCAACCUUAGUCUUGAAUUGAUUCACACUUUCUCCGCGUUGCCUCCGGAGUUUGCUGUAGGGUAAUGAAUAUUGCCUGGUGAGGAUGAGGGACUUAGGGUGGAAACCUUCACAAGGACCACUGAGAAUAUGUUGGUCCCAAGGGCAAUGUUCCAAAAUGAAUAGUGACCCCACCGAGGCGGGGUUGGGGGCGCUGAGCAUAAGGGCCUCAUUUUUCUCACUGCUCUCUGCCCCAUCCUGAAUUUGCUGUUAAAAAACAACGUUAAAUGCAGAUACCAAUUCCACUUCCCCACUGUUGUCACUUCCGAUCUGUCUUUAUAUUUCUCCUUAUCAUUUAUCACCAUCUACAUACCAAUGUCUAUAUUUUACUUAUUUUUAUUGUCUAUUUCCUUCCACUAUGAUAUAAACUCACAAAGGCAGACGUUUUUGUCUCUUUUGUUCACUGUGGGAACCUCAAUGCCUUGAACAGUGCCUGUCAUCUAUAGGUAGUCAAAAAGUAUUUGUGGAAUAAAUGAAGUCCUGGUUUCA
rnacentral:lncRNA from 1 species